CAAUAGCGUAUAUUAAAGUUGUUGCAGUUAAAAAGCUCGUAGUUGGAUUUGUGGCUGUCACGGGCGGCCUAUCACUUAGUGUUAGUGCUUGCCUGUGUCGCCAUCCUUGGGUGGAGCCCGUGUGGCAUUAGGUUGUCGUGCGGGGGCUGCCCAUCGUUUACUGUGAGAAAAUUAGAGUGUUCAAAGCAGGCUUAUGCCAUUGAAUAUGUUAGCAUGGAAUAAUAAGAUAGGACCUCGGUACUAUUUUGUUGGUUUGCGCACCGAGGUAAUGAUUAAUAGGGACAGUUGGGGGUAUUCGUAUUUCAUUGUCAGAGGUGAAAUUCUUGGAUUUCUGAAAGACGAACUACUGCGAAAGCAUUUACCAAGGAUGUUUUCAUUAA
rnacentral:rRNA from 1 species